rnacentral:rRNA from 1 species
GAUCUCCUACGGGGGGCAGCAGUAGGGAAUCUUCCACAAUGGGCGAAAGCCUGAUGGAGCAACGCCGCGUGGGAGAAGAAGGUCUUCGGAUCGUAAAACCCUGUUGUUAGAGAAGAAAGUGCGUGAGAGUAACUGUUCACGUUUCGACGGUAUCUAACCAGAAAGCCACGGCUAACUACGUGCCAGCAGCCGCGGUAAUACGUAGGUGGCAAGCGUUAUCCGGAUUUAUUGGGCGUAAAGGGAACGCAGGCGGUAUUUUAAGUCUGAAGUGAAAGCCUUCGG